rnacentral:other from 1 species
UACAUCCUGCGGUGUUCGUUACGGUUCAUAAUUGUUUUGAACCAAUGGCUGUUUUACGGGAGACCUAAAUCGGAGCACAGCUGACACGCCUUCAUUUUAUGAAGGAUCUCAAAAAGGCUUCUGCGGACACCCACCUGCGAGAGCGGGUUCAGAAACAAGCGAGUCGGACGGCAUCGGCGGGUACAA